GAACCUUCUGUGUCAUUGCUGUGAUCCCUGAGUUGGCUCUGGCCGGGAGCUCUCCCGCCCCCAUAGCCCUCGUUGCCUGUGCGAUUCUGUAUCCCACCGCUGUGCUCUGCCCGGAACUCCUCUGGGUUGGGCGAUGCCCUAAGACCGCCUCCCUUUAUGAGCUGUUGCACAAGAACCGAGGGUGGUUAGUAGUUCUCGACUGCUUUUGGAGGUACACCACGAGAAACAUGAAAACACCACUCAGUCUGUCCUAAAAACAGGAUCAAAAUCAGCUACAAACCCCUACAAAAAGACCAAGGACGCACCCAACCCUGAAAAUAAAGGCUUCAGAGACUGAGUGAGUCUAUUCCCACCCAUGGAACUGUAGAGUCCCUUUACAGUCUGCCAAGGAUUGGGCUCACUCCAACACACCUUGAUUUUCCCUGUGCUUCAUUGAUCUGCUCUCUGGAGUGAUGGGAUUCUGCUGACCUUCUUCUUUCCAUUCAUCUCACUGAGAAUCUUGAAGUUCAUCUUUUCCCACAGAAAACUUUUAGCAGGGAUAUUUUUCAUCUCCCAAGUUUGUACCAGAGUCUGCCCCAGAGUGUGAAGAUACAUCAAUGUUAUGAGGCAAGACAAGGAAAGAAGAGCAGGGAAAGUGAAGACCAUGCCACUAUAAGGCUAAUAAAGAAGUCCCUGAAAAGUUUUAAAAAGAGAAAAA